rnacentral:rRNA from 1 species
AUUGAACGCUGGCGGCAUGCCUUACACAUGCAAGUCGAACGGCAGCACGGGAGCAAUCCUGGUGGCGAGUGGCGAACGGGUGAGUAAAGUAUCGGAACGUGCCCAGUCGUGGGGGAUAACGUAGCGAAAGUUACGCUAAUACCGCAUACGAUCUAUGAAUGAAAGCGGGGGAUCGCAAGACCUCGCGCGAUUGGAGCGGCCGAUAUCAGAUUAGGUAGUUGGUGGGGUAAAGGCUCACCAAGCCGACGAUCUGUAGCUGGUCUGAGAGGACGACCAGCCACACUGGGACUGAGACACGGCCCAGACUCCUACGGGAGGCAGCAGUGGGGAAUUUUGGACAAUGGGCGGAAGCCUGAUCCAGCCAUGCCGCGUGCAGGAUGAAGGCCUUCGGGUUGUAAACUGCUUUUGUACGGAACGAAAAGGUUUGGCCUAAUAAGCUGAGCUCAUGACGGUACCGUAAGAAUAAGCACCGGCUAACUACGUGCCAGCAGCCGCCGUAA